GGCUGCCCAGAAAUCUGAGAGAAAAUAAGACAUGUAAAGUCCUGCUCACCCAUGAAAGUUUCUAAAUACAGGAGCUCUGAUUCUAAAAUCAUCUCCAUUUAUAUUGGUUUAUCUUUUUAAGACACUUUGUUGUUUCAGAGCUACCUUGCCAUGAAGAUUCAUUACCUUUUCUUUGCUCUUUUCUUCCUUGGCCAGCUGUCUACCUCAGGAACUGAAGAUGCUUAUGAAGUCAUUAGUAUCAUGGACUGUAAAAAUCAAACACUGUGUAAUUCUCAGAAUACAACUAGACACUGCUCUCAUGGGAAGGAGAUUGAACUAUGUGUCUUGCGUCUUGGAAAAAAUGCAAAGCGACUCACUAACCAUGAAGAAACAGCAAAUUAGGAAGACAGGAUGAUCAAUUUCCUUGUCUUAUUAAAAAAUAAAGUCUGCUUUCUUUUCUCUCUCCUUUUAUUCUCUAGUGACACAUUUAUUUAUUGACAGUUUGGACAAAAGUUUAUCAAGGAACUUUUCACGCUUAGGAUGAAUUACAACAAGAACCAACAUU
rnacentral:lncRNA from 1 species